CCCGCCCUCCCUCCCAGCCGCCGCCGCCGCCCCGAGGAUGGAGAUCCCGCCGACCCACUUCCCAGCCGCGCGGGCGGCCUCGGUGGCCGAGAACUGCAUCAACUACCAGCAGGGGACCCCCCACAAGGUGUUCCAGGUGCAGACGGUCGCACAGGCCAGCGUGCAGGAUAUUCCGGAAAAAGGACAUAAGUAUUGCCUUAAAUUUUCUGUGGAAGAAAUUAUCCAAAAACAAGUUACCCUGAACUGCACAGCUGAAGUCCUUUACCCUCUGACGGGACAAGAUACCGCACCAGAAGUCAACUUCACAUUUGAAGGAGAAAUUGGAAAGAACCCAGAUAAAGAAGAUAACACAUUUUACCAAAGACUCAAGUCCAUGAAGGAACCACUUGAAGCACAAAAUAUUCCAGACGGUCUCGGGAACGUGCCCCCGGAGAUGGAGCCAGUCCGACACCUGGCCUGGGUCGCCUGCGGUUACGUUAUAUGGCAGAACUCGACGGAGAACACGUGGUACAAAAUGGCGAAGAUUCACAGGGUCAAGCAAGUGCAAAGAAAUGAUGACUUCAUUGAGUUAGACUACACUGUUCUACUUCAUGACAUUGCAUCUCAGGAGAUUAUUCCUUGGCAAAUGCAAGUUCUCUGGCAUCCGCAAUAUGGUACUAAAGUCAAACAUAAUACCCGUCUGCCAAAGGAAGCACAACCGGAAUAAAUGAAGACCCUAUCAAUGACGUGUGCUUCCUUUUAAUGAUGUGUAUGCCAGUCUUCACUGAUACCUACAUGGUGCCAUGCAAAUCCCAAAGUGUAACUUGGUAUAAAUGUCUUCGUUACAGUAUGGAACCAUAUAGAUUCCACACAGUACAGAGUAUCAUGAUGUAAAAGUGUCCCAACGCUAAUAGUGGUGUACAGAAACUGUCCAUCUGUGGAAAACUGCCCGUGAAGGAGAGAGAAGAAUUGUGUUACUCUGCUACAUUCUAGAAAUGGUAUACAUAAUCAAAGGAAGCAGCGUGUUUACCAAGACCUGAUUGUAGCUCCAAGCAGGCCACGGAAGACCAAAAGGAAGGCAAAUGACACGGAGACUUCUCCUGUUCAAAACAACCUGCCUGGAGGCACCUUUAUGCUCCUUAGAUAGAAUUCCAUACCUGGUAGGUAGAAGUAUGGUCCCCUGAGGAUGUGCCCUAAUCCCCCCAAACUCGGGACUGCUACUUUAUGUGGUGACAGGGACUGCGCAGAAAUGAUUAAAGUUCUAACUUUGAGAUGGGAAGAUUACCACGAAGAACUGGGCUGGCCCAAUGUAAUCACACAAGCCUUUAAAAAGGAAGAGGAAUACAGAAGGAGAGCUUGCAUGAGGAAGGAGAGGCAGAGGAUACUUGAAGCACAUAAGGGACUGAUUUCAUGGCUGAAGAUGGGAUGGGGCCACGAGCCUGGGAAAACGGGUAGCCUCUAGAAGCUAAAAAAAAGAAAAAAACAAAACAAAACAAGCCCCAGGUGACAGUCACCAAAGAAAUGGGGACCCUAGUCCUAACAGCCACCAGGAGCUGAAUUUUGCCAAUAAUCUGAGUAAGCAAAAGAUAAAAGGUCCCCUUGAGCCUCCAGAAAGAACACAGUCCUGUCAGUAUCUUGAUUUUAGUCAAUUAAGAACUAUGUCAGAGGGAUCCCUGGGUGGCGCAGCGGUUUAGCCUUUGGCCCAGGGUGCGAUCCUGGAGACCCAGGAUCGAAUCCCACGUCGGGCUCC